AUUGAACGCUGGCGGUAUGCCUUACACAUGCAAGUCGAACGGUAACAGGUCUUCGGAUGCUGACGAGUGGCGAACGGGUGAGUAAUACAUCGGAACGUGCCCGAUCGUGGGGGAUAACGGAGCGAAAGCUUUGCUAAUACCGCAUACGAUCUACGGAUGAAAGCAGGGGACCGCAAGGCCUUGCGCGGACGGAGCGGCCGAUGGCAGAUUAGGUAGUUGGUGGGAUAAAAGCUUACCAAGCCGACGAUCUGUAGCUGGUCUGAGAGGACGACCAGCCACACUGGGACUGAGACACGGCCCAGGCUCCUGCGGGAGGCAGCAGUGGGGAAUUUUGGACAAUGGGCGCAAGCCUGAUCCAGCCAUGCCGCGUGCAGGAUGAAGGCCUUCGGGUUGUAAACUGCUUUUGUACGGAACGAAACGGCUCUUUCUAAUAAAGAGGGCUAAUGACGGUACCGUAAGAAUAAGCAUCGGCUAACUACGUGCCAGCCGCCGCGGUAAAAC
rnacentral:rRNA from 1 species